rnacentral:rRNA from 1 species
GACGAACGCUGGCGGCGUGCUUAACACAUGCAAGUCGAACGGAAAGGCCCCUUCGGGGGUACUCGAGUGGCGAACAGGCGAGUAACACGUGAGUAACCUGCCCUUGACUUCGGGAUAACUUCAUGAAACUGGGGCGAAUACCGGAUAGGAAUCCUUGCUGCAUGGUGGGGGUUGGAAAGCUUCGGCGGUUUUGGAUGGACUCGCGGCUUAUCAGCUUGUUGGUGGGGUAGUGGCUUACCAAGGCUUUGACGGGUAGCCGGCCUGAGAGGGCGACCGGCCACAUUGGGACUGGGAUCCGGCCCAGACUCCUACGGGAGGCAGCAGUGGGGAAUAUUGCACAAUGGGCGGAAGCCUGAUGCAGCAACGCCGCGUGCGGGAUGACGGCCUUCGGGUUGGAAACCGCUUUCAGCAGGGGCGAAGCUUGUGGUGACGGUACCUGCAGAAGAAGCACCGGCUAACUACGUG